rnacentral:rRNA from 1 species
GGGGAUAUUGCACAAUGGGGGGAACCCUGAUGCAGCGACGCCGCGUGGGUGAAGGAGCGUUUCGGCGCGUAAAGCCCUAUCGGCAGGGAAGAAGGAGGACGGUACCUGACUAAGAAGCCCCGGCUCACUACGUGCCAGCAGCCGCGGUAAUACGUAGGGGGCAAGCGUUAUCCGGAUUUACUGGGUGUAAAGGGAGCGUAGACGGUUGUAUAAGUCUGGAGUGAAAGCCCGGGGCCCAACCCCGGGACUGCUUUGGAAACUGUGUAACUUGAGUACAGGAGGGGCAGGCGGAAUUCCUGGUGUAGCGGUGAAAUGCGUAGAUAUCAGGAGGAACACCGGCGGCGAAGGCGGCCUGCUGGACUGAAACUGACGUUGAGGCUCGAAAGCGUGGGGAGCAAACAGG